AGCUGUCCUAGUGUCUCGGUUCAGCCCCUUCAGGAGCCGUUGUGGGAGGGGAACAUUCAAAACGCUGUAGCAAGGAAGAAACUGUUUCUACCGGAGAUAGAAGAGGCCGAUGUUCGUCAAAUAGAAUAGGGUAGGCCUUGAAGGAACUGUAAUCCCUGUAGACCAAAGGAGGGGCCAUAGGGAUUGUCAUUCUGGGAGCAGAAGGCAGUGUAAAUGGGAGUCAGGAGGACGAAGCGCGUUUGGAGUGCGGGCCGCCUUACCGGCUGGGGUGGGGUUUUGGCUGUGAUACUCAGAGAGUCGAGGUUGAGCAAGAUGGUGAAGGACAGCGAGUUAAGGAGGUUGAGUAUAUUUGCAGCGGUAGAGCAUUGAAGGUUUUUGUGUACGAGAGUAAUAAAAGUUAAAGCAGUACUUUAGAUGAUUAAUCUGUUGAUACUAAGUAGCUAUCAAGCGCCGCUGCUUUUUUCUUAGCAAAUUUGAGUACCUUAGGUUCCAUCAUUGAGUUAGAUAAAAUUUGGCUGUUAAAUUUUGCACACAGGUCCAGGAGCUGACUCUCAUAUACCUCAGAAGAGUAUUUAACAAGAAGGCAAAGUUUAAGUGGCUUAAAGCCAUCAUCAGGAAAUAUCAUCAGGUCAUGCAGUGAGUAAACUGACACUAAGAGAAGUGAGCUUCCGAAGUCUCACCAGUGGCAAGCAGCUGAGAUGGAACUUGGCCUCAGAUCUGAUUCCACCCCGAUACCAACUUGUGGAUAGAAACCAUCCAGUGUUUAAUAUAUACCUUGGUGACAAAUGUGUAUCAUUACUAUCGCAUAUUUGUUUCUCUUCUGUUGGAACUUAAAGGAAUCUUGAGACAUGACCCCGCCCACUCUCAUUUUACUGAUGGGGAGCAUGGUACAGGGCUAUCAAGAAGCUGUCCAACGUUCACAGGGGAAAGGAGGAAAGAGAUCCCGUCUGACCCUGUCACCUUUGUUUUACCAAUUCCCGUUCCGUGAAGCAGCUUGAGGACAUGAGGCCUUUGUCCACUGCAGCUGGAAAUACUGCCUUGCAGCCUUGGUUUUGGCUUUCAAGCGGGUAAUGUUAUUUCAAUCACCCCCUGCUGAGUUUUUCCACAGAACUGAAAUUAUAAGGGCUGCUUCUAUUUUCUAUACUUGUUUAAAAUACUGUUUUGCUCUGCCACCCUAGAAUGCACAGGAGAAAGGGUGGUUUUUUUUGAUGUCAGCACAUUUCAUUUCAUUUUAAAAUGACCACAUCCUGGUUGACAGGGGCUUGGAUUCUUCCAAGGAAGCCGAGGGUGGAGAGGUGGUCAGUUAAUACCGUCAUUGGCCUGCAGAGGGAGCUCUGUGGUUUUCUUUUGCUCCAAUGCACAUCUGGCCCAUUGGUUAAUGUAGGGGAGUGACUUAUGGACUAUAUAGUAUUAGAGAGUCAACUUAGCUUUUCCUUUCCCUACUGCUCUGCUAUGUAAUGGAUCUCCACCCCGGGAGUCGGGGUCAGUGCACAGAGGGUUUUACUCACACGUGCUCCACAGCGCUCUGAAAGGCUCUGGAAAAUCUCCCUUCUAGGGAUAGGCCACAAGAAGUCUUCUGUGGUCCUGAGAACUCAGCACCCUUGGGCUUUCUACAAAGAACCAUUUCCUCUUCCGUAUAGUUUGCGAUUUACUGUUUAAAUUCAUUUUAAAAAUUAUAAAUGUAGACAUACUCAUUACAGAACAUUCUGAAAAUUGAAAACACAUUAAGAAAAGAGUUGCUCAGAACCUCCAACACAGAGCUGCCCACCAUGGCUGUAUCUCCUUCUGGUCUCAUAGGCUCCGUACUGCCUAAAGCCUUCAUGCUCUGCGAUCGACACUUGCAAAAUCCGUGUCAGGACAGCUUCCUGCACUGGAGAAGAUCAGAGCAGGAACGGCCUGACAUCCACAGAAGGUUCUGCGAUGGCAACUCAGCUUGACUGAAGAGAAAACCCUUCUCCCUACGUGUCCUGAAUUCAGCUGAUGAUCUGAGGACGAGUGGCUUGUUCUAGGGCUGCUUGUAGCUCGUUUUCUCAGCCCAUCCGACCCAGACAUUAAACGGCUAGUUCAUGACCCUUUGCUGUCCAUGUGAUGGCAGAGAACUCUGAGAUGCCAUGUGACACGGCAGCGCACAUUUAACUUGUCACGGAACAAAUGUUUUAUUGGGAGCGGCACAUCGGACACAAGGCAGUGAGUCUGCUCCGCACACCGCAGUCUGUCUGCCCUUGAGCGUUUGGAAGAAGCAAAGAGGGUGGAGACCGCAGCUCUCGCACUGGCUACCGUCCACAGAGAGAAAAAUGUUGAUUUCUUGUGGAUGAAAUGUUUCCCCGCUCGACUGAGUGGGGUGUCAUCAGCAUCUCAACAAUGAAGAGGAAUAGAAUUUGUAAGAGAUAAAAGGCUGCCCUCAUCAGCAUUUUAAUUCAAGGAGAAGCACACCUAUUGAAAAGGGUUCUGUCCAUCUACACACAGCUUUGUAAGAAGGGUUAGAAGGUGCAGGAUGAGCCAGCAAAGAUGACAGGAAGGAAACGCCUGUAUGACUCCCCACGUGAUUGAGCGUCUUCUUGGAUUGGGCCAAGAGGACGAAGUCUAAGCAGUUGACCCUGGACAGAUAGCUGACGAAAGACGCAGCUGGAGAUGCUGGGCGUUGAAGGAAAAGACCCUGGCUGGUCGUGUGCUGGUGACCUGUGACAUUGGACUCUGUGGGUCCAAGAGGCCUCAGAAGCAAGUAAGCACCCAGCUGGGCAGGCAGGGGAGGCUUCUCCCUCCUCUGACUCCCGUAUCCUCACCCACCCCACCAACCACAUGGAUGUUUUCAGUCUUUGGAAUUACAAGUUCUGUGUUUCAGAUCGCAUGAGUGAUGUAUGUUCCUUGUAGAAAUGUGAAAAGUAAGCACAAGGACAAAAGUUCCCUGUGAUCCUGGUACCCAGAGUAAGGAUUGUUCGUAUUUCAGUGUACGAUGCAGCCAUACUUGUUUCUGCAACUAAAUAUGUCCCUGUCUCUAAGGAAUGGUGGCGCCAGAAGAUGGAAGAAGUCCACGUCCCUGAAUCAUCUGGAAAGCUGCCUUCCAAACUCACUGGACAGUUACAUGAACGAGAAAUAAGUGUAUUAUCUUAUGCUUCUGAAACUCUGAGGUUUCUUUUUUAUUAAGGCUAGCAUUACCCUAACAAAUACAGGAUAUGAACAUAAAAUUCACAGGAGGGAAUGGCGCAAUACCCAUUGAACAUAUGACUAAAAUUUUAACCUCCCUAGCAGUCAAGAAAAUGCAAAUUAAACCACAGAUAUACCAUUUUAAAAAUCCAUCAGAUUUGCGAACAUUAAAAAAGCAAUAAUAUUUAGAGCAGCUAAAAUGCAAGGGCAGCCACUCCUGGUGGAAGUGUACAGUGCUACAAUCUUUGGGAGAUGUAAUCUGACAAAAUUUAUUAAAGUUAAAAUAUAUAUUUGUUAUACAACAUCACAUGUGGUAUACAUUUGUUCUUGUUUUUCUUGCCAGAAAUGUGUAACCUGAAUCUAGCCAAGCCUCUAGACCUAACUUCCAGUUUCAGAAAUACCAGAAAUAGAGGAAAAGUUAAAUAAUACCAUAGAGGGAAAUAGUCAGAAAUCCAGGAUGUGGGACACUCUACAAGAUAACUUAGCCAGACACCUUAAACACCAAUGUCUCAAGAAAAAAGUGACAAACUCUUCUUCACUAAAAGAGACCAAAGAGAUACAAAAACUAAGUGCAGUACAUUAGCUCAGAUUGACUUCUGGCUAAGAAAGAAAGUAUAAAGGACAUUCUUAGGACAGCUGGGGGGAUAUUUGAAUGUGGACUGAAUAUUAGCUGACAUGAUGAAAUUAUUCCUAAUUAUCUUAGGUAGGACAGUGGUUUUGUAGCUAUCUAGAAGAUGCUCUCUACUCCUAGAGAGGCAUGCUAAAAUAUUUAGGGGUGAAUGGUCAUGAUAUUCCGGGGAGAAUUGUCAAGUAGUAGAGCAAACACGGAAAUUAUACUUAUAAAUAGAGAUAAGGCAUAUUGCAUACAUUUUCGCCUAGCAAGUUCAUCUGUGCAAACUUAUACUACACAAUAAAUAUAUUAACACAUAAGAAUGAAAGGAUAAGGCUGUUUGUUGUUUCAUUGUUUACUGUGACAAAAAAUUGGAAACACCAGCAAGAGAAUAUGAUGAAGAAAUUAUGGCAUAUCCGUGCCACGGACUACCGCACAGCAACUGCAGAGAAUGAGUUAGAUCUCUCUGCAUUGAAUUGAAGGGAUAUGCAUGGUAUAUUGUUAAGUAAGAAAACAGUUGUAGAAUAAAAGUAUAGUAUAAAUUCACCUUGUAUAAGACAAUAUUUGUAUCAAAACAAAACAUACCCUCUCUUAUCUAAAUACCUAUCAUCUAUCUAUCUAUCUAUCCUCUAUCUAUCUAUCCUCUAUCAUCUAUCUACAUACGUACGUGUGUAUGUGUAUAUAUGGAAAAGAGAGUUAGAGCAGGAAAGGUACACAUCAGGUUGUAAAAGUUGGUUGUCUUAGGGAGGUGGGAGAUUAACUUUUUUCUUUAAAUAUCUGUGUAUCAUUUCACUUAUUAUAAUUAGUGUGAAUUACAAUGGAAUUUUAUUUUUAAAAAACCUUAUGAUAAACUCUGGUCUGCCUAUGACAUCCCUUCUUGUUUCCCAACAUUGUAAUGGGUUUAUUCUUCUUUAAAAGUGUCAUUUCUUAUCAUUUCAAUGGGAUUUUGGGAAGAGACAGCAAGUUAAUUCACACUCGGUCUAUGAUCUUAAACUUGAAGUUCCCUCCACCAUUCUUUCCAACUUCUCUGCCUGCACUCAUGCAGUUUUCUUCUACCUGGAACACUCUCAUCUGAGCUUAGGGUUUCUAACUAAAAAUAAUGGAUGUUAGUUUUGGUUAGGAAAAGACGUGACCUGUGACCAGUGCCUGUCUUAAAAAUUCCUCCAUUCUCUUAAAGAGAUAAUGUGGUAGAACUAAAUUUCCAGCUGGCCUGAUAAUGUACACGCUGCCUCUAGGGGGUCUGGAAGAGAUCUUUGCUCUUUGUCAGUGGCACAGACUAGGAGCCAUCUGAAGCCAUGAGCCUAUUUUUCAGUUGUCAUCUGCUGCCGUGGUGUAAGUUAUAAGGACAGCUUUAUAGCAAGCAGUUUGGUAGAAGGGCUAAGCCAACCCAAAUCACCAGUCCAAUCACCAGUCCAGUUCAUAUUAGCUGUGGUGCUUGCAGCAAAGUGGCCACUGAAGAAACCAGAUGGCCACAUCUACCUACACAAGAGAACUUACAGAGGGAAAAUGACAGGCUCAGACCUUUAGGCUUUGAGCUCUAUUGCCUGGUAGAAGCACACACAGUGUGUAGGGUACAAAUGGUCUGCAGAAGCUACUCCUACCUUUAGGAGGUGCAAAAUGCAGCAACUUGCCUUUCACUUUGCUCUUGAGCGCUGAACACCCUAGAAACUAGAGAAGAGGAAUAGGGUGACAUCCUAGAAUGGUGCCAAGUGCGAGGAUACUUCUGUCCUAUAUGAGUUCGCACAGAGGGGUAUUUGCAAGAGGCUCGCACUAAUCCGAUGAAUCCCAUGACCCUCUGCAGUGUCGGCCAGCUUUCCCCACAACUAUCAAUACACUGGUGCUCCGUCAGUGGGUCCACGUACGACGCGGCCGUAGUGGCAGCGAUGGAAGCCCUGCAUCUCCUCCACGUGGCGACACGGACUUCUCCUCCCUGCGGGUGACCUGGGGCGAGUGCCUGACCUGCCAACAGCAGAAACAUGUGGAGCCCUGGACGUGACAUCACUCCUGAAGGCCACCUGCAGGUUACAGAAGUUCAAGUGGGAUUGUGACUGAGCUAGAAGAGGAGUUCAUGAAAAUCUGAGAUAGGGAGAGGACAGCUCACUGUACACAAGGCUGCUCUGAACAUUCCUGUGUAUGUUCCUGAACACACGCGAGGGAGGUUUUCCUGGGAGCAUCGGCGCUGGCCCCAGCUCUCUGAGAUAUCUCCAGAUUGCUUUCCAAGGAGGUUUCCCGAUGGGCCCACCGCAUCUUCAAUAACGUUUGGUACUGUCAGACUUCUUUUUAUAAACAAAGUUUUUUGAAUAAGCAAAACCUUCAAACACCUCAAAAUUCAAAACUAUGAAGGGGCAGGAUGUGAGGAUAAUUGUGUUUUGGGUCCCCCGGCGUCCGGUGUUCACUUCAGUGUUAACUGUCCCGAAUGUGUCCUUACAGGGACAUUUUGAUGGAUACGCAGGCAGGGGUGGACAGGUAGGUGUCUCCUUUUCUUACUUCUCUACUCAGUGACUGCCUCCUAAGCGGGCUGUUCUGCCCCUGUUCCGUUCACCUGACGCUAUACCUUAGCGAUCCUCCUGCGUCAGUACAGAGCACCUGCAGUCUUAUUUUUGUUGCUUAAGCCAUUCACUGCUACCUGACUCUUUUAAAUAAAAAAAAUAAAUUUUUUGGUGAAAUGUAUCGUACAUCAUAGAAUAUAAAACAUUUAUGGGCCAUCAGAAGAAGAGGAAUAAAAUGAACCCUGCCUACUCCUGUCUCAGGCUCUGAAGGAGAAUCACGACAACAUUUCCAAAACCCUCCCUGCUCCUUUUUUUCGUGGCAGCCCCUUCCCUUGACGCCCAGCUGGUCCCUCUCCAAACUUUGGUGUCCAUGAUUCCUCUUCUUUUUAAAAUUGAUUUCCAGCCCAUGUGUAUAUCCCCAAAGGAUCCAUUGUUCAGUUUUGAUUGGGUAGCAAAUGCAAAAUUAACUGGAAUAAAAAAGUUAAAUAGAUUUUAAAAAGCUGCCCCUAGGUUCCCAGGAGAAGGUAACUUCAACGGAAUUUCUGGGUCGAGAUUCCCUGAAUGCAAAGAAAGAGGCCCUUCUGGAAAUGUUGGGACGCAAGUCCGUGGGGAGCCCCGGGCUCACACCAUUGAGGUACCUGGCUGUGGAACAGGUUCUGGGCCCAGGGGCGAUGUGAUCUGGUCAGCUGCUCAGAACUUCUGGGUCUAAAGUCACCAGAGCCUCCCAGGAGUUGCCAGAGAAGGACAUUUCUGGGGGGUGAAAUGGGGGGUCUCAGCUGAUCAGGAGCUGUAGGUCAUAGAGGAGAAGAAGGGGCUUUAUCAGUACAUGGACGGGAGAAGCCGGAUGAGCUCGAUGGGGUGGGUGCUCAGCUGGGCGCCUGGUUUCAGGAGACAGCAGGGGGUGUUCUGAUGACCCAUGGCGUCACUGGGCUCCCAUCCGGAUGGGGUUGCCUCUGUCGGGUCAUCUCGGGGCCUCCCUUCUCAUCCUCGGGAUGCCCUUUGUUUCUCUCUGGGGGGGUGGGGGCGGUUCCUGCACACCCCACACCUCUUCUUUCUUGCCAUGCUCUCUCAUUUUGGUGGAGUACUUCUAGUAGCUUCCUGCAAAAUUAUAUGUGUGUACGAGAUACAUUUUGGAGGCUUUGCAUGUCUUAGAAUGUCUUUAUUUUACUCUCAUACUCAAGCUCAAGUUUUGCCAGAUAGAGAGGAAUAGUUCAGAUAAUAUUUUUCUUUAGAAUAUCUUCUUGCUUCUAGUAUAUAUAUAUAUAUAUAUUUUUGGCUGCGUUGGGUCUUCAUGGCUGCGCGCGGACUUUCUCUAGCUGUGGCGAGCGGGGGCUCUUCGUUGCUGUGCGCAGGCUCCUCAACGCGGUGGCUUCUCUUGUUGCGGAGCACGGGCUCGAGGCACGUGAGCUCAGUAGUUGUGGCUCGUGGGCUCUCGAGCGCAGGCUCAGUAGUUGUGGCACACGGGCUUAGUUGCUCCACGGCAUGUGGGAUCUUCCCGGACCAGGGCUCAAACCCGUGUCCCCUGCAUUGGCAGGCAGAUUCUUAACCACUGCGCCACAAGAGAAGUCCCUUGUACCUUUCCUAAGAAAUCUAAAGCCAUGAACACUGACCCUUUGCGUGAUCUGUGUUUCCUCUCUAGAAACUUGUAGGAUCUCCUGACGGUUCCUGGAAGUGGACAUUUCACAUGUCGAGCUUUGAUAUGAAUCUCAAUGACUCUCACACUUUGGUCACUCAUGUCCUUCAGUUCUGAGAAUAUUCUUAAACCAUUUAAUUGAUGAUUUCAUAUCUCUUUUUUUCUAGUAUAUUUCUGGAACGCCUAUUAAAUAUUAGUGUUGGACCACCUGGUCCUCUAAUUUUAUUAUUUUCACUGUAUUUUUCAUCUUUUUGUGUUUUUGACUACUCUCUGGGAGAUUUCCUCGUUUCUGCAAUUGAUUUGAAUUUCCAAGAGCUCUUUUUUGAACUUUGAAUGUCUGAAUGAUCCCUUUUCAAAAAACUUCAUUCUUGUGUCAUGGAUGAUAAAUCUUCUCUUAUGUCUCUGAAUAUAUUAACUGUGUGUGUGUGUGUGUGUGUGUGUGUGUGUGUGUGUGUGUGUGUGAGUCAGUCCUGGCUGCAGAGUUUAAGAUCUGAGAAAUAAAAGGCUGAUUAGAAGCUCUGAGUUCUUGACUGGGACUUGUUGAUUUUCACAGUAUAUUGUGACCAUCUGUUGGGGGACCCUAAUGUCAAUAUCUUAGAAUGUUUCCUGUCGGGCUGGUGAGAUUCUCCAUGGGGAGUCUUUUCAUCUCCUGGCUGGAGAGGAAGGGUAUGGCCACCAGUGAUCUGGGAGUUGAAUUGGAGAAAAAGGCUGGAAUAUCUCUGCAGCAAACGUUCAAUAGACAUACUUUACCUGUACCCACUACUAUGAUUGCCAUGUCCCAGUCCCCUGACCUGCAGUUCUACCCUCUCCAGGGAGGCAAGGAAGAAGUGGCCCAGGACAGGGGAGGGACAAGGAGACUUAGAGACCCAUUACUUCUGAGACAGGUUUCACCCACUUUCCCUUAUCCCAUCUUCACUGCCCACCGCCCUGUUCUGACUCUCUUAACUUCGGGAUAUCGGGAUUUCCCGUAUUUCCCUUUCAGUUCUACUUUCAACCUGGAAAUCUUUUUGGAACUUAUCUCUUUCUUGUAGUUCCUUGUCAAACGCAGGCAAUAAAAGCAAAUUCAUGGUACCCAUGUUUUGUUUUCCCCACUUCUUAACUAAAGCCACAAGCUCAUUUGCUCCAUUUUUCUUAUUGCAGGCAACAUGCUAUAUAUGUCAGGGUCUUUGCUAGAUCAGCACUACGGUUCUGGUCCUGAUAUCUAUAUCCAUCAGCUUGAGCUAUGUUAUGUUGCAAUAAUAAAUGGCUUCCAAAACCCUAGUGCCUUACAACAUCGGAUAUUUAUUUCUUGCUCGUGUACGUGUUGGCGGUACAUCAACUUUCACCCUGCAUUCUUCUGCAAUACGGGCUAGGAGGGGCCCCUAUCUUAGUCUUGUGGCAGAGGGAACAAAACAAUGGCAGAAGCAUGCCAGGGCUCUUAAAACAUCUGUUCAGACAAUUGUAUAAAUUCCACUUGACAAAGAAAGUCACACAGUGAACCUCAGUGGGCAGUAUGUCUGUUCUGUCUCCAGGCAGGAGCCUCUAGGGGUGUGCCUAGUAGCAAGGAAAAGCAAAUAUUUGGAAUAAAUAGUACAAUAAUACCAUCUGGCACAGUCUUUUUUUAAAAUCUUCUUUAAACCGACUCAUCCAAAACAGGGAUUUGUCUUUUUCAUGCUCUCCUGUUCUAAUGAAGUAAGAAGUUGUCACGUGACAUCUCUUUCCUUACCAUCCCUGUCUCUUCAGUGAGUGCGUGGCCUGGAUCCCCAAAAGGCAGCUGAACUUCGAUGAGCUCCUUUACCACUGCAUUCUGUCCCAGAUUAUGAAGCAGAUUCACCGCUACCCGUCCCAGCAAGGCACCAGCACUAACGCUCAGGUCCCCCCUUUCCCCCGAGGUACGUAGAACCCCACCCACUUCUGCUGCUGGGCGAGAUUCUCAGGAUGCUUUGGGUGUCGUCUCAUGUCCAUCAAAGUCUGGGUCUCCACUGGUUUCUAGGCUGAGUUUCCCAUGAGAUGCCCGUUUCUAUUACAACUCAUGUAUGUUUUCAAAAGAAGCCCCCGUUACUGGAGAUUGUAUCCUAGCAGGCAGAAAACUCAGACGCAGCUCUUGUCUCCAGAUAGUCUCUAUUUGAACACGAGGCAGGUACUGGGUUCUUCCUCUUCUCUAGCUGCUGACUGAGCAUAAAUUAAUUUUGUUUACAUUUUUAGGAGCAGUCAUUAGCUCAUGAUUCGUGCUGAAGAAAAGCUUCCUAUCUCCUCUGCUCUGUAAAAGUGUUUAUUUUGGUUUCCUCAUGGUUUAUGUUGAAAGUUCCAAGACCCAUGGGCUUCACUAAAUCUGCAAAAAAUCCAUCAUCUAAACAAACAGCACCUUUCUCUGGGUCUGUAGGGGACAGACUAUUUAUUUUUAUCUAAGAGUAACCAGCAUUCAUUUAUGCAUUGGUUCCAGAUGUCGCACCCAGAAAAGCUAACCUUGCCAGGGGGUAACCGUGCCCUCUUGGCUCCUGAAGUGUGAAGGAUACAGUCUCUUCGUCCUGGAAGACAGUGGAAGCCGUGGCGCUUUGUGGCAAGCUGAGAAACAUGACAGCCGAGGACACGGAAUUAAUGGAAGUCAUAAAGUUUUACCUCCACGACAUGUGCUCUUGAGAUCAUGAAGCCGUAGUCAACGACAAGCAGCGACUGACUGCAAGCAUGGGAUGCAGAACCCCUGUCUAACCACAAGGAGAAUAUCCAACAAACCCAACUAGAAGAACAUUCCUUAGAAUACUGGACCUGUGCUCCUCAAAACUGCCAAGAUCAUCAAAACCAAGGAGAGUCCGAUGAGUCAAGAGGAAUCUAAGGAGACAGGAUUAAGUGUGAUGCGGCGUCCUGGAUGAGAUCCUGGAGCAGAAGGAGAGUGGGCGUUAGGUAAAAACUGAAGACAUCUGAAUAAAAUCUGGACUUCAGUUAGUGAUGUAACGAUACUGGUUCAUUCACUGUGACAAAUGUUAAUAAUUCUGUACACCGGGUAUGGGCACAUGGGGCUGUGGACUAUCUUUGCACCUUUUCUGGAAAUUCAAAAUUGUUCUAAAAUGAAAAGCUUAUUUAAAAACUAAAAAGCAAGAAUACUGCUGAUCAGUUCUCUUUCCCAAACCUGGAAAUUCAUCUGCAUCCUCCUUUCCUUGGUUCCCAGGCCUCUGAGAGCUCUGGCUGGCUCUGGACACUCCUUUCCUUCCAGAAUUUCCCCUGCAGCCUUGGACUCCGCAGUAGCUCCUGUUUGACUGUAAAUGACCUUUGUUGGGUGAAUUGCUGAGGUUUUCACAGCACGAAGUGUCUUCUGACUAUUUGUGAUCGUCCAUGGGCAUCCCUACCCCUAUCCUGUCCGUAUCCCACGGCCAAGGCCGCCAUGACCUCACUGACUAGGCGUUCGGGCCCAGCAGGCAGAGCACACCACUGCCACGCACGACGCACCACGGCAUACGGCUCCUUGCUCAGCACAGUGGCCUGAUUUUGUAAAUGCAUUACCAUAAAGCUAUCCUUCAGGGGAAGUUUUGUUUUUUUUUUUUUGCGGUACGCGGGCCUCUCACUGUUGUGGCCUCUCCUGCCGCGGAGCACAGGUUCCGGACGCGCAGGCUCAGCGGCCAUGGCUCACGGGCCCAGCCGCUCCGUGGCAUGUGGGAUCCUCCCGGACCGGGGCACGAACCCGCGUCCCCUGCAUCAGCAGGCUGACUCUCAACCACCGCGCCACCAGGGAAGCCCAGGGGAAGUUUUAUUGUUCGGAUGCUUCUAGUGUUGGGGCCUUACUGUGGCUGCACACGGCGUCAUCUCAGAUCUAGGGCGCGGAGUUGACCGUGCCCGCCUCGCUGGGUCGUUGAGAGACUACAGAUGCCGAGGCAAUGCCUGCCCAAAGUACCGUGGCUCUUGGCACGUACAGACUCACAGUAGAUACUCUGCCCUCUCUUCCCAUCCUCCUGAACACAGAGGCCGAUGUGGCCCAGGACGGGGUUCCCCAAAUUGUGUUCUGCCCAUGACUUUUAGGACCCAAGAUAAUGUGUGUAAACACUUAUGUUUGGGAAAUUCCUGCACCAUACCCUUCUCUUGGAGUUUGCAAUGAACAUUUUGGCCUGUUGGAGGCUCGGAGAAGCCCUGUAGUACAGACAGGCUUAAUUUUCUUUAACUAAAAUCCCCCAGACCCACUGAACUCUUACUGGGUGUGAUGUAUCCAUCCCUGAACCAGUAGAAAUCCUUGAUCUAGUCAAGCACAGGAGGCCAGGCAGAAGGUCGGAGGAAACAGAAGUUUGAAGACUAAAUAUCUACCGAGCAGAUGCAGACGUUGGCCACUAGCUGCUCGUAAAGCAAUCGUAAGGGUGGCGUGGGACAGCAUCUGUGCGAGGCGGCCAGCCGCUGCUGGUUGAGGCACUUUUGCCCUGGAAGGGCAAGGGCUGGGGAUGGGUGAGGGCUCUGGGAAACCAUGAAAUCCUGUUCUGCAGCUUCACACCGUGAGCUAAGUGCCGGCCCCGGGGCAGCAGAAACAGCUCCAGAAGAGCCUUCCCUGCCCAAGGCCACGCCCACACCAUGGCGUCGGGUGACGGGGGACGCAGGCAACCCCAAACCCCUGUGGGAGGCUCCGGCGCUGUGCUGUCGACCUGCUGGAGAGGCCUGGGAUGGCUUCUCUC